AACGAACGCUGGCGGCAUGCCUAACACAUGCAAGUCGAACGAGACCUUCGGGUCUAGUGGCGCACGGGUGCGUAACGCGUGGGAACCUGCCCUUAGGUUCGGAAUAACUCCCCGAAAGGGGUGCUAAUACCGGAUAAUGUCUUCGGACCAAAGAUUUAUCGCCUUUGGGUGGGCCCGCGUUGGAUUAGCUAGUUGGUAGGGUAAAAGCCUACCAAGGCGACGAUCCAUAGCUGGUCUGAGAGGAUGAUCAGCCACACUGGGACUGAGACACGGCCCAGACUCCUACGGGAGGCAGCAGUGGGGAAUAGUGGACAAUGGGCGAAAGCCUGAUCCAGCAAUGCCGCGUGAGUGAUGAAGGCCUUAGGGUUGUAAAGCUCUUUUACCCGGGAUGAUAAUGACAGUACCGGGAGAAUAAGCUCCGGCUAACUCCGUG
rnacentral:rRNA from 1 species